GACACUGAGGAGCGAAAGCGUGGGGAGCGAACAGGAUUAGAUACCCUGGUAGUCCACGCCGUAAACGGUGGGCGCUAGUUGUGCGAACCUUCCACGGUUUGUGCGACGCAGCUAACGCAUUAAGCGCCCCGCCUGGGGAGUACGAUCGCAAGAUUAAAACUCAAAGGAAUUGACGGGGCCCCGCACAAGCAGCGGAGCAUGCGGCUUAAUUCGACGCAACGCGAAGAACCUUACCAAGGCUUGACAUAUACAGGAAUAUGGCAGAGAUGUCAUAGCCGCAAGGUCUGUAUACAGGUGGUGCAUGGUUGUCGUCAGCUCGUGUCGUGAGAUGUUGGGUUAAGUCCCGCAACGAGCGCAACCCUCGUUCUGUGUUGCCAGCAUUUAGUUGGGGACUCACAGGAGACUGCCGGGGUUAACUCGGAGGAAGGUGGGGAUGACGUCAAAUCAUCAUGCCCCUUAUGUCUUGGGCUGCACGCAUGCUACAAUGGCUGGUACAAACGGCUGCAAUACCGCAAGGUGGAGCGAAUCCGAGAAAGCCAGUCUCAGUUCGGAUUGGGGUCUGCAACUCGACCCCAUGAAGUCGGAGUUGCUAGUAAUCGUAGAUCAGCAACGCUACGGUGAAUACGUUCCCGGGGCUUGUACACACCGCCCGUCACAUCACGAAAGUCGGUAACACCCA
rnacentral:rRNA from 1 species